CCAUCAUAUUUUCCAAGAAAAAGAAAGCUUUCAAACGCUCCCCUCUCUCCUCCCCUUCCUCAUCUCUCUCUCUCCCAAGUUGGAACGGCUAGCAGCCAUAGCCGCAGCAGCCUGCAUUCCCUACGCAAGUUGCUCACUAUUUCCGUCCGGUCCAUCACGUGAAUCGGCAGGAACAGGAAAGAAUAGUGAAAAAAUCACACUAUUCCGCCAUCAAUAGCCUGAGAAAGCUGGGAUUGGAAUAGUUUCGGAUUUGGUUGCAAAAAAAAAUUCAUUCUUCUUCCCGUUUUUUUUAUUUCUAAGGUUUAAAAGUCGGACUUGAAUUUGAUCAUCUGAGGGACAGACUUGAAGAUCAGAGAAGAGAAAAAAGAUUAGGAGAAGGGCAGUAAGGAACAAGUGAAAACAGAGAGAAAAGGGGGUCUCAAAAUUGAUAAAUUUCUUAUCGAUUUGGGAUCCAAGUUAGGAGUUCUACCGUGAGUUCGUCCCCGGAAAAGUCCUCGACGGAGAGCUUCACGUUUGCUGCACCAAGAAAGGUAGUAGCAUUGCUACUAGGAUCACGAGAGCUUCGGAGUCACGCAAAUUAGAAGCCCAAACUCCUAAAUGGAGUAUCUCUUAUCUUCUUUGAAUUUAAUUUAUACGUGUAAUGUUGAGUUUUAGAAAGAUACUAACUCUUGAUUUUAAAUUUUUUAAGAUAACUUUACUUAAUUAUUAAAUUUAUGUUGUCUUGUUA